UUAUCGGAGAGUUUGAUCCUGGCUCAGGACGAACGCUGGCGGCGUGCCUAAUACAUGCAAGUCGAGCGGACAGAUGGGAGCUUGCUCCCUGAUGUUAGCGGCGGACGGGUGAGUAACACGUGGGUAACCUGCCUGUAAGACUGGGAUAACUCCGGGAAACCGGGGCUAAUACCGGAUGCUUGUUUGAACCGCAUGGUUCAGACAUAAAAGGUGGCUUCGGCUACCACUUACAGAUGGACCCGCGGCGCAUUAGCUAGUUGGUGAGGUAACGGCUCACCAAGGCGACGAUGCGUAGCCGACCUGAGAGGGUGAUCGGCCACACUGGGACUGAGACACGGCCCAGACUCCUACGGGAGGCAGCAGUAGGGAAUCUUCCGCAAUGGACGAAAGUCUGACGGAGCAACGCCGCGUGAGUGAUGAAGGUUUUCGGAUCGUAAAGCUCUGUUGUUAGGGAAGAACAAGUGCCGUUCAAAUAGGGCGGCACCUUGACGGUACCUAA
rnacentral:rRNA from 1 species